UGCCAGCAGUCGCGGUUAAACCAGUAAGUUAAGUUAUAUAUUUUGGUAAAAAGACAGUUAGACAAAGAUUAGCUUAUUGAUUUCCAUUAUAAAAGUAAAAUUUGAUAAGGGUAUAAUAAAAUAAUAAUAGCUUAAUUGUUGAAUCUGUGAUACCUUUAAGGGAAACUGGGAUUGGAUACCCCAUUAUUUUUAGAUGUAAAUAAAGAAAUUUACCAGAGUACUACAAAUAAAAUAAUUUAAAACUCAAAGAGCUUGGCGGUAUUUUAGACCACUUAGGGGAACCUGUCUCAUAAUCGACAAUCCACGUUAAACCUUACCUUUUUUAGUUAUCAACUUGUAUACCGUUGUCAUCAGGUAACUUUUAAAGAAAAGAGAAGUUAGCUAAGAAAUUUUUUAAAUUAAGAUGUCAAAUCAAGGUGCAGUUUAUAAAAAGGAGAAGAUGGGUUACAAUUAUAAAUUAUAAUACGAAUAUGCAUAUUGCAAAUAGCUUGAAGGAGGACUUAAAAGUAAAUUUUUAUAUAUAGAUAACUUGAACAAGGCUCUAAAAUGUGCACACAUCGCCCGCCACUCU
rnacentral:rRNA from 1 species